UCAAAACCCAUAUGGACCAGAACAUGGUAG
rnacentral:piRNA from 1 species